AGUGAACGCUGGCGGUAGGCCUAACACAUGCAAGUCGAACGGCAGCACAGUAAGAGCUUGCUCUUACGGGUGGCGAGUGGCGGACGGGUGAGGAAUACAUCGGAAUCUACUUUUUCGUGGGGGAUAACGUAGGGAAACUUACGCUAAUACCGCAUACGACCUACGGGUGAAAGCAGGGGAUCUUCGGACCUUGCGCGAUUGAAUGAGCCGAUGUCGGAUUAGCUAGUUGGCGGGGUAAAGGCCCACCAAGGCGACGAUCCGUAGCUGGUCUGAGAGGAUGAUCAGCCACAUUGGAACUGAGCCACGGUCCAGACUCCUACGGGACGCAGCAGUGGGGAAUAUUGGACAAUGGGCGCAAGCCUGAUCCAGCCAUACCGCGUGGGUGAAGAAGGCCUUCGGGUUGUAAAGCCCUUUUGUUGGGAAAGAAAAGCAGCAGGUUAAUACCCCGCUGUUCUGACGGUACCCAAAGAAUAAGCACCGGCUAACUUCGUG
rnacentral:rRNA from 1 species